AGUGAACGCUGGCGGUAGGCCUAACACAUGCCAGUCGAACGGCAGCACAGUAAGAGCUUGCUCUUACGGGUGGCGAGUGGCGGACGGGUGAGGAAUACAUCGGAAUCUACUUUUUCGUGGGGGAUAGCGUAGGGAAACUUACGCUAAUACCGCAUACGACCUACGGGUGAAAGCAGGGGAUCUUCGGACCUUGCGCGAUUGAAUGAGCCGAUGUCGGAUUAGCUAGUUGGCGGGGUAAAGGCCCACCAAGGCGACGAUCCGUAGCUGGUCUGAGAGGAUGGUCAGCCACACUGGAACUGAGAAACAGCACAGACUCCUACGGGGAGCAACAGUGGAGAAUAUUAGGCAAUGGACGAAAGCGUGAUCCAGCCAUACCGCGUGGGUGAAGAAGGCCUUCGGGUUGUAAAGCCCUGUUGUUGGGAAAGAAAAGCAGCAGGUUAAUACCCCGCUGUUCUGACAGUACCCGAAGAAUAAGCACCGGCUAACUUCGUG
rnacentral:rRNA from 1 species